rnacentral:rRNA from 1 species
GAAUUCGCCCUUAGAGUUUGAUCCUGGCUCAAAUUGAACGCUGGCGGCAGGCCUAACACAUGCAAGUCGAGCGGUAGAGAGAAGCUUGCUUCUCUUGAGAGCGGCGGACGGGUGAGUAAUGCCUAGGAAUCUGCCUGGUAGUGGGGGAUAACGUUCGGAAACGGACGCUAAUACCGCAUACGUCCUACGGGAGAAAGCAGGGGACCUUCGGGCCUUGCGCUAUCAGAUGAGCCUAGGUCGGAUUAGCUAGUUGGUGAGGUAAUGGCUCACCAAGGCGACGAUCCGUAACUGGUCUGAGAGGAUGAUCAGUCACACUGGAACUGAGACACGGUCCAGACUCCUACGGGAGGCAGCAGUGGGGAAUAUUGGACAAUGGGCGAAAGCCUGAUCCAGCCAUGCCGCGUGUGUGAAGAAGGUCUUCGGAUUGUAAAGCACUUUAAGUUGGGAGGAAGGGCAGUUGCCUAAUACGUAACUGUUUUGACGUUACCGACAGAAUAAGCACCGGCUAACUCUGUGCCAGCAGCCGCGGUAAUACAGAGGGUGCAAGCGUUAAUCGGAAUUACUGGGCGUAAAGCGCGCGUAGGUGGUUUGUUAAGUUGGAUGUGAAAUCCCCGGGCUCAACCUGGGAACUGCAUUCAAAACUGACUGACUAGAGUAUGGUAGAGGGUGGUGGAAUUUCCUGUGUAGCGGUGAAAUGCGUAGAUAUAGGAAGGAACACCAGUGGCGAAGGCGACCACCUGGACUGAUACUGACACUGAGGUGCGAAAGCGUGGGGAGCAAACAGGAUUAGAUACCCUGGUAGUCCACGCCGUAAACGAUGUCAACUAGCCGUUGGAAGCCUUGAGCUUUUAGUGGCGCAGCUAACGCAUUAAGUUGACCGCCUGGGGAGUACGGCCGCAAGGUUAAAACUCAAAUGAAUUGACGGGGGCAAGGGCGAAUUC